GGGCGUGUGGCACAGUGGUUAGCGCGCGUGCUUUGCAAACGAUCGAGUAACAUCGGUUGUCUCAAGUGCACGAGGUCAAGGGUUCAAAUCCCUUCUCGUCCA
rnacentral:tRNA from 1 species